ACUCACACACACACACACACACACAGAUGUGAUUGAAUAAUGAUGAAUAGUUUGGUGUGAAUGCUGUUACUGUA